GUAUUUUCAUCCGUUUUCAUUCAUUCUUCCAGGGCUUUUAAUCGCGUGCACGUUCUCCCCUUCAUGUCUUCCGUUCCAUCUUCACUCUCUUUGCCUCUCUCCGUCUUCUGUUUCUUUGUUUGCGAUGUUGAGGCCAGUGGAGGGGUGAUUGUGUGAGCGAUCAGAUCUCUUUCGCCUAACCUUAGGUAUGCAUUUUGUGUGCUACAGUGUUUGUUCUGAGGCCCUGCCGUUCGGUUUUGGUGGAGACUUUCAGCUUCACUCUGUUUUCAUACUAGCUUAAGGUGUGGCAUUCUGAAGGUUUUGGUUGCUCAAAAGGUCCUCCGUUUUGUGAGUGCUUCUAAUUCUUCCGCUAGGUUUGAUCUCUCAAAAGUUCUAAAAUCAUGUUUUGGGCCUCUCUUGAGUUCCUAUUAUCAUGACAAGGCUCCUCCACUUCCUUCUUGCCCUCCAAAUCCGGCGGUGGCAAGCAGAAUAAGGUGGAGUUGUCGGAGUAUAGCAAACAAUGGUGGAUGAAUGUUUAAUGGCAAGAUUUCGCUGGACAAAAAGGUUUGCUUUCUAUUUCUUUGAUUUUCAUCUUUGUGCCUUUAGGUAAGGCCAUCUCCUUCUAUAUUUAUUUUCUUUUUAUCUCAUUAAAAACACCCUUAUUUUCCCUUACUAUUGUUUUAUACAUGUUCCACUCCUCUGCUGCGUGCAAUGAACACAAGUGGAAAUGAUCAGGAUGUGGGCGUCCUGGAGUUAGGUGAACUUCUUUAUUAACUUCUUUAUCCAUCUCUUAUGUUCAAGAAUCUGGGUCCACUGAUUGAGCUCCAAAAACAUGCUUUUCUGAAACUUUUGUGAGGAGGCUGGGUUUGUUGAUGUUGCCCAUGUUCCUGAGCUUUCAAUAGCGGAAAUCUUUCAUGGACUGCAGUUCUGUUGAACCACUCUGCAACAAAUGAUGAACACAUUGGAUACGAUUGUGGAAGGUCCCUUUGGUUAUAGAAGCACUUCACCUUUGAAGGCUAAAUAAGUUGUAGUUCAAACAUGAAUCCAGAAUGAAAAGAAACAAUAGGGGAGCAAGAGUUUUGGCCAGGUUUUGUGAAACUUUUGCAGGAAAUGCAGGAGUGACAGAGAAAAAACACUAUCUAUUGAAGCAUUCCACAAAAAUCAUAAUUGUGGAGAUGAUCAGGAAGUGGGGUUCCUAGCAGCAUAGACAACCAUGUUCUUGCGAGAAGGGUCAAUAUGAGAGACUUGAUUAGAAUGGUGAGAAUGGAAUGACAGUUUCAUCUGAGGAGACUGCCAAAUCUGGCGUUAAAAAGUAGAAGAAGAAUGUAUUUGACCUACCUUUUCACACAGUCAGAGAUCAAAUAGAAGAAAGCCUUUGAACCAAGAUGGCUUCUAUGAAGGUUGAGAGUGCUACUAAAAGGACUGAGGGGGCUGGGUUUGUUGAUGUUGCAUGGAUUGCAGGUUCAACAAACUUUUGAAAGCUGCAAGGUGUAUCAAGAUACAGAAUUAAUAUAUGUAGUGCAUCAAGUUUUCAUGUUUUUUCAACUUCCUUUGUUUUAAGUUUUUUUCUUUUGUGGGCUUCGGAUUCUAAGUUCCAUUUGUACUGUCAAGAGAUGAUAUCUUCAAUUUUGAAGGGCAUUACGACCCAACUAUGAUAUAUUGGAAUUGAAUUAUUACAGUCUUUGCAAGUCAA